UACGUAGGGUGCAAGCGUUAUCCGGAAUUAUUGGGCGUAAAGAGCUCGUAGGCGGUUUGUCGCGUCUGCUGUGAAAUCCCGAGGCUCAACCUCGGGCCUGCAGUGGGUACGGGCAGACUAGAGUGCGGUAGGGGAGAUUGGAAUUCCUGGUGUAGCGGUGGAAUGCGCAGAUAUCAGGAGGAACACCGAUGGCGAAGGCAGAUCUCUGGGCCGUAACUGACGCUGAGGAGCGAAAGGGUGGGGAGCAAACAGG
rnacentral:rRNA from 2 species